UGGUGGAGUGAUUUGUCUGGUUAAUUCCGAUAACGAACGAGACUCUAGCCUGCUAAAUAGACGGGCGAUCCCUUCGUGGGUCGACCCGAUUUGCUUCUUAGAGGGGCAAGUGGCGUUCCUAGCCACGCGAAAUUGAGCAAUAACA
rnacentral:rRNA from 1 species